rnacentral:rRNA from 1 species
UUUCCCUACGGGACGCAGCAGUGAGGAAUAUUGGUCAAUGGGAGAGAUCCUGAACCAGCCAAGCCGCGUGAGGGAAGACGGCCCUAUGGGUUGUAAACCUCUUUUGUCGGAGAACAAAACCCGGGACGUGUCCCGGACUGCGUGUAUCCGAAGAAAAAGCAUCGGCUAACUCCGUGCCAGCAGCCGCGGUAAUACGGAGGAUGCGAGCGUUAUCCGGAUUUAUUGGGUUUAAAGGGUGCGUAGGCGGAUUUUUAAGUCAGCGGUAAAAUGUCCGGGCUCAACCCGGGCCGGCCGUUGAAACUGGG